UUAAAUCCAUUGAAAAGGAAUAGUAGCUGUAGUCAUUAGUUUCAGAGAGCUGAGGAUGGUGGAAUCUCAGUACGAUAUGCUUCAGUGAAUGGACCUUUAGGAGUAAGCCGAAAUUUUAAGUUUUCUUAAAAGAGUAGUACUUAACGGAUGCCCACCGUUAAAAGGGAAAAGACAUGAUAGUGUGUCUUAUAGAGAUAUACAAUUUUUGUAUAAUUUAGGUGGCACCGCGGAUAACCUUCGCCCUAUUA
rnacentral:ncRNA from 1 species